rnacentral:tmRNA from 1 species
GGGACUGAUUUGGUUUCUACGUAUUGAGUUUUAUUUAGUUGAUAGUUGAUUAAUCAUUCUAGUUUUUAAACGCAAAAAAUAAUAUUUUACCUUUUUCUAGAAAUUUAGUUAGUGUAUAAAUUUUAGAGCAUUGAAUUAUUUUUUUAUAUAAUUUGAUGUAUUAAAUGAGAUGCUCUCAUGGCUGAGUUUUAUCUGAUAUUUUGAUAUGCAAUAGCUUAAUGAGUUAAGUAUAAACUAAAAAUAUUUUAAAUUAUUAAGAGUCAACUUAUAAAACAAUUGAAGAUAUUACCUCAAUACGGACGUGGGUUCAAUUCCCACCAGUUCCA